rnacentral:rRNA from 1 species
UACGGGGGGGGCAAGCGUUGUUCGGAAUUACUGGGCGUAAAGGGCUCGUAGGCGGCCAACUAAGUCGGAUGUGAAAUCCCCAGGCUUAACUUGGGAACUGCAUCCGAUACUGGAUGGCUUGAAUCCGGGAGAGGGAUGCGGAAUUCCAGGUGUAGCGGUGAAAUGCGUAGAUAUCUGGAGGAACACCGGUGGCGAAGGCGGCAUCCUGGACCGGCAUUGACGCUGAUGAGCGAAAGCCAGGGGAGCAAACGGGG